ACACCUGAGUCUUGAUUAGGUCCAGUGUGUUUAGUGACUGUGUGCCUACCCUUCUUUGUCUGAUCAUUGUCAACCUCUCUGUGCGUCCUUGUGGAUUACCCAAUGACUUGUGAAUUGUAUGGACUGUUAAGAGACAUGACUUGAUGCCUCAGACAUUGGAAGGACUUUUCGAAGGGUCGACAUGAGGCGGCUGGAUUGAAGAAGACCCGACGUGCAGAGACGGGGAAGGAGUGCUCCACGUCGGACUUGGACUUUUUAUCAGUUGCCUUUUAUCAAAUAGUAUUUCAUUGUCUCUCACACCUGUCGCCUGUUUUUAUAAACUAUUUAUUGUGAAUAAAUUAGAUUAUUGUUCA